UUCAUUUGUGUUAAAAUGAAUAUUGCGUCAGCCUACUUUUGUUCGCGUGUAUAAUAAAAAUAACUGUAAAAAAGUAUGCCGCGUCAGCUAAACGAUAGAGAAAUCGCAGAAUACUUGUUGGAAGACAUUCCUUCAGGUAGCGAAAGUAUUUGCAGCGACGAGGAUGACGAAGAAGAUACAGAAGGUCAGCCAAAUCCACUGGUGUUAGGCGAUUUGAUUGAAGAAGUUCGAGUAACCGAUUAUGACGACUUCGAUUGCGAUGAUGAUCUCCUUUUGUCUAGCUUAGCACGCCGGAAUCCUGAUUCUACAGAGCCUAACACCGUAGAUUCAAACAGACCGACUACAAAAGCUCCAAAAUG